UACGUAGGGUGCGAGCGUUAAUCGGAAUUACUGGGCGUAAAGCGUGCGCAGGCGGUUUUGUAAGCCGGAUGUGAAAUCCCCGGGCUUAACCUGGGAAUGGCAUUCGGGACUGCAAGGCUGGAGUGCGGCAGAGGAGACUGGAAUUCCUGGUGUAGCAGUGAAAUGCGCAGAUAUCAGGAGGAACACCGGUGGCGAAGGCGGGAUCUCUGGGC
rnacentral:rRNA from 1 species